CCACAGAUGGAACGGACGAUGGGCAGCUUUGUUUACCUUCAAGACCGAGUGGUGCUGUGAGCUUGCUGAAAGCAACAACAGGACAGAAAAUAUGGGAUGUGGGCCUUGGAAGGACCAGCUGAUGAAAAAAUCAACGCCUGUGCUGCACAGUAAGGCCUCUGGCAGACCGGAAAGCAUCGAUAGAUAUGGUGCCUGCCUGUUGGAAUUGCACCAGCUCGCUUCCCUGAAAGAAGCUAGGUGCUGAAGAAGUACUUGACUAACCUACCCGCAUUGUCAUUGUGACAGUCUGCAUCACCAUUUGGCCUAUUUUGGUAUCCCACAAGACACGCUGCUGCCCUGGGUGUUGUACCUCGGCCAAUUGCUGAAGUUCUGCAAGCCCCAUUGAAGCCAACACUCAUCCGCAUCCAAUGGAAGAAACUCAUUGUUCGGGCCGUCAUAAUUUAUCUUAAGCUGAAGCUAGAAGCAAGGUAGAAACAGCAUAUAUUCUACAACAAUUUACCACUGCAUGCCGUCGGGUGGCUACACCCGACAGGCUACUGUCUUCAACAGAGAUGGUGUUUUAUUCUAGAAUAUAUUUGUCAGCAGUACUACUCCUUCUGUUUAUAUCCUUGGAAACAAACAAGCGAGGACACCAAAGACAACAUAGGAGAA